GGCUCCGGGCCGCGGUCGGCUCCAAGGAGUCUGUACCUGCGGGUCGGAGCCAUCCUCGGGGAGAACAUGUCUGCCAUUCAGUUGGUGGGCAUGGGACCCUCGUCAUUUACUGUGAGCAAAAUAGAGUGUUCAAAGCAGGCUUAUGCCUGAAUACAUUAGCAUGGAAUAAUAGAAUAGGACGUGUGGUUCUAUUUUGUUGGUUUCUAGAAUCGCCGUA
rnacentral:rRNA from 1 species